rnacentral:lncRNA from 1 species
UGAAAGGGUAACCAUUUCUGAUCGUAACCUUGGCUUGUGCUUCGAGUAAUUAUCCUUUAAUUGCAUUACCCUAUUUGAAAUAGAGUUGUAAUUGGAAAAAAACAAUUUGACAUUCCCUGAUGCUUACUCUGACAUGCACUAUUUGCUUUUUAUUCAAAUGUAAAUUUUCUCCAUAAUACUAUCAAAGAAAGAAAAAAAAUUAAGCAAAAUUGAAAUGUCAGUAGCAAUUUCUGACAUGCAGGCAGUGUCAUUCACUGGUGCUGCUGUCUGGAAGGCAAGACUUUCAGUUCAGAUGGAAAAAAAACACCAAACUAUGAAAUUAGCAUGCUCAGAGGAGACGGAGAGAUGGAUGGCAGAGCCACAGACUGAGCCCUCUGGGACACGUGUCCACUUUGCACAAUGGCUUCAAAAUAUCAAACAAGCCGCCAGCUAUAAUUUUUGGAUGAAUAAUCCUUUUUGCUUUACAAUAAAAAAUAUUUUUUCCUUAAAACCCGAAGGGUGAUAAACUUAACUCCAGAGUUUUUUCACCUCAGGCUUCCUGAGGAGGUAAUUUUAAUUGGGGGCCUGUGAUAGGUGACAGGCAGCCGCUAAGACGGCUCUGAUGAUUCCGGUCUCCUGAUGGCCGCAACCUUUUGUAAUCUCUUCCCUUUGAGUGAGGGCUGGACCUCUUGACUUGGCUUCUAAUGAACAGAACACGGCAGAAGUAAUGGGAUGUCACUCCCGAGAUUAGGUCGCACAAAGUCCUGUGGCUUCUGCCUGGAGCUUGCCUGUGUUGCCCUCUCGCGUGCUCACUUGGAAGGAAGCCAGCCGCCAUGUUGGAGAUGCCGUGUGGUAACGGAGGCAGGCCUCUGGCCACAGCCAGCAAGAAGCUGAGGCCCUCAUCCAACAGCCCACGAAGAACCAAAACCUGUCCACAGUCUGGAAGCAAAUCACCCCUCAGCUGAGCUUUCAGGUGAGCCUGCAGCCCCAGCUGAAACCUGAUGGCAGCCUCAGGAGGGAGCUUCAGUCGGAGGCGCCCAGCUGAGUGGCAUUUGGGUUCCUGACCCACAGAAGUUGUGAGAAAGCCUGGAGAAUGUAUUAUAAAGAAGCGUUCGGCUUUCCUAGGUGGUAUGUAAACCAGAUUCCCAAAUUCCCAAACCAGAGGAGCCCUGGGUCAUUAGGAGCAUCUGAACACCGACCGUGGAGGAACCACCGCAUGUCCAGUCGUUUCCAAGGACCUGCCGUCUCUAGUGUCAUGGGGGGAAGUGCCCCACCAGCAGGCUCUUGUCUCCUCUCUGAGACAGAAGCAGUCAGUGGGAGAGAGGUCAACAGAGGCAGCGGGUGAGAACUCAGUCUCCGGAGUUACGCCAGCCUGAGUGUGAGCCCAGCUCCCCUCGACCAGCUCUGUAGCUCAUGCUUACUGCUUAACCUUAUUCA